CGAGACAGUAGGAAGUGCCACCAAGCCGCCUCCAUGGGCUCCGUCGACGCUGCCUCCACCGCCCGCCCCCUCCAUGUUGUAUUCUUUCCCCUGAUGAGUCCCGGCCACAUGAUCCCCAUGGUCGACAUGGCCCGCCUCUUCGCCCUCCGCGGCGUCCGCUCCUCCGUCGUCACCACCCCGGGCAACGCUCACAGCGUCCGCCCCGCCAUCGACGCCGCCGCCGCCCUCGGCCACCCCCUCGCCCUCCACCUCAUCCCCUUCCCCGACCCUUCCGCCACCGGGCUCGCCCCCGCCUGCGAGAACCUCUCUGAUGUCCCCGCCGCCCAGUUCGACAACUUCGUCAACGCCCUGUUCCUCUUCCAGGCCCCGGUCGCCGCCCUCCUCCGCGACCUCCGCCCCGACGCCCUCCUCUCUGACUCGCUUUUCACGUGGACGGCCGACCUCGCGGCUGACCUCGGUGUCCCCCGCCUCAUAUUCCACGGCGCCGGCGCCUUCCCGCAGUUCGUUAUCUGCAACCUCCUCGGCCACUUCCCCUUCCUGGAGUCCUUCACCAUGGACGGGCUCCCCCACCCGAUUCGUCUCUACAAGGACGGCCUCCCGGAGCUCAUGGACAACUUCGCAUUCCUCCAGCUCCUCGGGGAGGCCGAGGCCAAGAGCUACGGCGUAGUCGUCAACACCUACCGCGAGAUGGAGCCUGCGUACGUGGACUACUACAAGAAACACCACCCGCAGGGGCUCCGCGCCUGGUGCGUUGGGCCCGUGUCCCUCUGCUGCCGGGCGGCGGAAGAGGAGCGAGCCAAGCGCGGGGGCCUGCCGGCCACCGAGGCGAACCGGAUUCUGUCCUGGCUCGACGGGAAGCCGGCGGGGUCGGUGGUGUACUUGUGCUUUGGUAGCCUCUGCCGCCUCGGCGUGGCGCAGCUACGGGCGAUCGCAAAGGGACUGGAGGCGUCGGGCCGGGCGUUCCUGUGGG
rnacentral:lncRNA from 1 species